CGUAGCUUGGGUAGGAGUCCUAUGUGUCGUCCGAUAUGCCCAAAGUGCUUCGCUUAUUCUUUCAUGCCAGUCUCUCUUUGUUCGACCGAUCACAUUCUUUAAAAGAUUGCACAAUGUUUUGUUGAAUGCUUCUGCAAGACCGUUGGCCGGGGCAUGAUACAUGGAAGACUUGUGCUGCUUGAACUUGUAUUUCUCACAUAGCUCAUCCACGAGUCGGUUGGAGAA
rnacentral:lncRNA from 1 species